rnacentral:tRNA from 1 species
GGCCUGGUAGUUCAGUUGGGUAGAAUGCCAGCCUGUCACGCUGGAGGGCGAGGGUUCGAACCCCUUCCAGGUCGCCA